AAGAGAUAUUUAUAUCCGUACAGUGCUUAUUGUUAUGAAUACCAAGUUUCUCUAUACUGUAAAGUCAUUCACUUAUUUAUUCAACAAAUAUGUAUUGAGUGCCCCCUGUGUGCCACUUUGCUAGACACUGGUAGUAUGGUGGUGAGCCAGAUAGUCAUAGUCCCUGACUUCAUCAAGUUAUCAGUUUAGUGGUGAAGACGCAUAUGCUAAUUGAUGUGUCAUUUCAAAAUAUCCAGAUGCAAUUUUGCAGUACUUCUGGGUAGUACAAGGCCACGUAAAGAAUGUUUAUUGAGUUUCCCUUCAAAUCUGUCUUUGUUAUGUCUCAUAAUUAUUUUUUAGUUAAUUAAUAUGUCUUUAUCCAUCAAGCAUAAUAAUUUUCAGGGUAUCUAGUGGAUGAUUGUCAUUCCUUAGAGAUAGUAGAAAUGGAGAGUUGUCUUUAUUCAGCGUUGGGUUUGAGCCAGUUCUAUCAUUUUAUAACCCUUGAUAAGUGCUUUUAAAUGAAAGUCCUUUUAUUCCAUUCCUUUCAUACGUUUACCACGAAGAUAUUUUACAAAAUUACCUGUUUUGCAACUUGGGCCACUCCUCCAACAGAACUGACUCGAGAGGUUAUCUUCCGUCCACAGACUUGGAACUGUGCAUCUCUGCCGAAUGUAUAUCUCAGUCUUGGCCACUCCCUGGAAUCUAACUCAUGGACCAAACUGCCAUCUUAACAUCUCAUUUAAGUUUCUUCUUGACCCUCUUGUAAUUUUGUACAGUCAUCACUACAUUGCUCACAAGAAUGACUCUUACCCUCAUCCAGGAGAUCACUGGGGAUCCUCUGCAUCAUUCACACGAGAAGAUGGUAGGUUGGAGCUUGGAACAAUGUUUGGAGGACUUUGCCUCCCCUUGGAAGCUAAAGCCCUGGCCGAUCUGAAGAAAGCCAAAGCCAUUCCCAGUUUUACUUUGCUAUUAGGAGAUAGAAAAAACCUUUAAGAUGGCCUUUGCAGCUCUAGCAAUCAGGUUUGUGCUGACCUCCACACCUCCAUCCCACCUUCUUCCCUCUCUGUUCAGCUUCCCCCUGUCAUACUCUCCCCUCAUGUUCUUUGUUUGGCCACACUGGCCUUGAUUUAGUUCCUUACACCAACCAGAAGCCUUUGUUUGUGUUAUUUCUUCUGCCCGGAAGGCUCUUCCCCUUCACUUCUCUCUUUGACCUAUUUAACCAACCUCUGUCUUACAAACUGAUGCUCAUGUAAGACCUUCUAGCGCUAGCUUUCUCAUACCCCCUACACUAAAUGUCCUGUUAAUUUCACAAAACACCCUGUGCCUCUGUGUCACAGGAGAAAAUCUCAGUCUGUACUUAUUCAUUUAUUUAUUUGACUGUUUUAAUGUCAUUCUCUUCUAACCAAGAGGAAAGAAAGCAUGUCUCUGCUCACCAUUGUAUCUCCUGCACUAUCACAGUGCCUGCCAGAGUUAACAAGUAUCUCUUGGAUUUAUGUGUGGUUGAAUGAAUGAGUUGGUAAAUGAAUAAUAAGAAAUCCACCCACAAAUUUGGUCAAGUUUGGUACCUAUGUUCUCAUUAUUAUCAAGUUGAAAAAUACUAGUUACUUGUUUUACUUAAGAGCUUCCUGUCUUUCUUCAGCCAGUUAGCUUAUUUUUAGAACUACUAUUCAUGAGUUGGAAAACCAAUUCUAUAGCUACCCUUAUCUUUUAUUCCUCUGAGCCUUGCUUGUUUUAAAAAUGAAGAGAGGAAAGUAAACACUCCAAUUUUGUGGUUCAGUUCACAUUUCAAUUUUUCUCUUCUUUCUUUUAUUCUGAACAUUGUAAAUGGUUUGAAAAACCAAGCUUUUGCAUUUAUAUUGCUCUUUUCAUCUACAGAUUUAUAAGAGCUUUAAAAACAUGUAUUAAUACAAUAGCAUUCCAAACUAAAAAAAUAAAGCCACAUUAAAUCUCCUUUAAGAUAUAGAUGCUGUUAAUAGGUUCACAAUAUGGCAGCAACAAUUUCAAAUACGAAUUAGGGGUUUUGAUUAAACCCUCUAAACUGACUAAUGGUGAGUUCCUCCUAGAGGCAUCCAUCAUUCUAAAUCCACUAAUAAUGACAUCUCUUCAAAGAGUAUAUGGUCUUAGAAAGCUCUAGCUUGAAAACUCAAGGAUUUAAAACAUUUGCAAAUGAAAAAAGGCAAAAUGACAUUUACUCUAUUUCUAACUUCUCUAGAAAUGUUACUGGAUUUUUAGCCUGACAUUUCCCCUAAUAUAUACAAAUAAAGCUAUAAAUUUUCCUUCAAGCACAAGUUUUUGUUGUACUCUGUGGAUUUUGAUAUACCAUAUUUCAGUUAUUUUUUCACUUCCAAACAUUUUCUAAUUUUCAUUGGAAUUUCUUUUUUUGACCCAUGGGUUCUUUACAAAUGUAUUACUUAGUUUCCAAACAUUUAACCAUCUUCUAGUUGAUUUUUAAUGUUGUUAUAGAUUUCAGUCUUGAUUCCACUGUAAUAAGAGAACACUGUCUGUAUGACUUCAGCCUUUUGAAGUUUAAUACUAGCUGUAUGGUUUAUAUGUACAUUUAAAAAAUAUGUUCUAUGGGCAUUAAAAUGAAUGUUCUUAAAUGUUAUUGUACAUACGUGAAUUAGAUAAAGUUUAUUAGUUGUGCUAAUUCACAUAUUUUAUAUCCUUCCUGAUUUAUUCUAAUCUAUUUUAACAAUCACUGAGAAAUGCUUAAUAAAAUCUCUAACCACACUUGUGAAUUUGCCAAAUUUUGUUAAUUCUGCCAGUUUUUACUUAACAUAUUUUCUUAUGCUAUUAGUGCAUACAUGUUAAGAAUUAUAUCUUCUGGGAAAAUUGGCACUUUCAACAUCAUAAAAUGUCUCUAUUAGUUUUCUUUAGCCUCUUUUGUUUUUGUGAUUUUAACAUAGCUAUAUUAGGGUGUCUUUUUUUGUGGAG
ensembl:lincRNA